rnacentral:rRNA from 1 species
UACGAGCACCCCGAGUGGUCGGGACGUUUAUUGGGCCUAAAGCAUCCGUAGCCGGUUCUACAAGUCUUCCGUUAAAUCCACCUGCUUAACAGAUGGGCUGCGGAAGAUACUAUGGAGCUAGGAGGCGGGAGAGGCAAGCGGUACUCGAUGGGUAGGGGUAAAAUCCGUUGAUCCAUUGAAGACCACCAGUGGCGAAGGCGGCUUGCCAGAACGCGCUCGACGGUGAGGGAUGAAAGCUGGGGGAGCAAACCGG